GAUGAACGCUAGCGGCAGGCUUAACACAUGCAAGUCGAGGGGUAUAGGUUUUCGGACCUAGAGACCGGCGCACGGGUGCGUAACGCGUAUGCAAUCUACCUUUCACAGAGGGAUAGCCCAGAGAAAUUUGGAUUAAUACCUCAUAGUAUAGCAGUUUCGCAUGAAACCACUAUUAAAGUUCCAACGGUGAAAGAUGAGCAUGCGUCCCAUUAGCUAGAUGGUAAGGUAACGACUUACCAUGGCUACGAUGGGUAGGGGUCCUGAGAGGGAGAUCCCCCACACUGAUACUGAGACACGGACCAGACUCCGACGGGAGGCAGCAGUGAGAAAUAUUGGUCAAUGGACGCAAGUCUGAACCAGCCAUGCCGCGUGCAGGAUGACGGUCCUAUGGAUUGUAAACUGCUUUUGUACGAGAAGAAACAACAUUACGUGUAAUGUCUUGACGGUAUCGUAAGAAUAAGGAUCGGCUAACUCCGUGCCAGCAGCCGCCGUAAUAC
rnacentral:rRNA from 1 species